CUUAUAAACAGCUAAGACAAUCGCCACAGGCAAUUCGAGUCAUGCUCACGUUGUUGUUCUUGUGUUUGUUGAAGACUUGUGACUCUAUGUAUUAUGGUAAAGUUGGGAGUCCCGGAUGCCUUAUGUAUAAUGGAACAUGUGUGGAUCACUGUCCAGAACACAUGCACAGAUUGAACAGCGAAUGCCGUCCGACUCCAUCGCAACGCACUUGCGACGAACCAGUCGCAUUAUCAAUGGGCACGAUUUGCGACUGGUCGCGGUGUGACUGCGACUUUCCAUUCGUCCUCCACCUUCCUUCAGGAUAUUGCUUCGCAUAUGAAGAUUGCCCGUAAUAAAAUCAUGUUCAGAUACCGUUAAAUAUAAAACUUUAUUGGAUAAAUGGGAUUGUGAAAUCA